CCAAUAGCGUAUAUUAAAGUUGCUGCAGUUAAAAAGCUCGUAGUUGAAUUUCGGGAUCAAUAUGUCGGUCGUGCCUUCGGUACGUACUGGCGUCAUUGGUUUCUCCCUUCUGAUGAACCAUGAUGUCAUUAAUUUGGUGUUGUGGGGAAUCAGGACUGUACUUUGAAAAAAUUAGAGUGUUUAAAGCAGGCUCACGCUUGAAUACAUUAGCAUGGAAUAAUGAAAUAGGACGUUUGAUUCUAUUUUGUUGGUUUCUAGGAUCGACGUAAUGAUUAAUAGGGAUAGUUGGGGGCAUUAGUAUUCAAUUGUCAGAGGUGAAAUUCUUGGAUUUAUUGAAGACUAACUACUGCGAAAGCAUUUGCCAAGGAUGUUUUCAUUAAUCAAGAACGAAAGUUAGGGGAUCGAAGACGAUCAGAUACCGUCGUAGUCUUAACCAUAAACUAUGCCGACUAGGGAUCGGAUGAUGUUAAUUUUUUAAUGACUCAUUCGGCGCCUUACG
rnacentral:rRNA from 1 species